rnacentral:rRNA from 1 species
CCUACGGGAGGCUGCAGUGGGGAAUAUUGCACAAUGGGGGAAACCCUGAUGCAGCGACGCCGCGUGAGUGAAGAAGUAUUUCGGUAUGUAAAGCUCUAUCAGCAGGGAAGAAAAUGACGGUACCUGACUAAGAAGCCCCGGCUAACUACGUGCCAGGAGCCGCGGUAAUACGUAGGGGGCAAGCGUUGUCCGGAUUUACUGGGUGUAAAGGGCGUGCAGCCGGGCGGACAAGUCAGAUGUGAAAGCCGCGGGCUUAACCCGCGAACUGCCUUUGAAACUGUAGGUCUUGAGUGCCGGAGAGGUAAGCGGAAUUCCUGGUGUAGCGGUGAAAUGCGUAGAUAUAAGGAAGAACACCAGUGGCGAAGGCGGAUUACUGGACGGUAACUGACGGUGAGGCGCGAAAGCGUGGGGAGCAAACAGGAUUAGAUACCCCAGUAGUC